CUCAUUUUGACUAGACUAUCAAAUCAUCCAAAAAUGGUGGUUUUACUACCAAACUCUUCAAUUUAUUUGAUUUCAAUCAGUUAAUGACAUUUUGACUUCAAAUUUGAAUAUAAUUUUUAUCUUUAUAGAUUUAAUUAGUAUAUUUUAUGUAAUUCUUAUAAUUAUAAAUCUAAUAAAGUAAUAAGUUUAAAUUUUGAAGUAAAAAUAUCAUUGACUAACUGAAAUGAAAUAAAUUAAAAAUUGGAUUGUAGAAUUAAAAUUUUAAAAGAUUUGAUGGUUGAUUCAAAAUAGUCUAUAGUCCAUGUAUGAU
rnacentral:lncRNA from 1 species